GUCCUUAUGAAUUUAAUUUAAGGUUUGACCUGCCCACUGAAAUUAUUUGAAGGGCCGCAGUAAUUUGACUGUGCAAAGGUAGCAUAAUCAUUAGUUUUUUAAUUAAAAGCUUGUAUGAAGGGUUGGACGAGGUAAAUUCUGUCUCUAUUUAAUUUAGUAUAGAAUUUAAUUUUUAAGUUAAAAAGCUUAGAUUUAUUUAAAAGACGAGAAGACCCUAUAGAUCUUUAUAUUAUAAAUAUUAAUUUUAAUUAAGAAUAUUUUAUUUUUUAUUAUUUAUAUUAUUUUAUUGGGGUAAUAGGAAGAUUAGUUAAAUUCUUUUUUUUAUUUUUACAUUAAUAAAUGAUUAUGUGAUCCAAUUUUAUUGAUUAAAAGAUUAAGUUACCUUAGGGAUAACAGCGUAAUUUUUUUAGAGAGUUCAUAUCGAUAAAAAAGUUUGCGACCUCGAUGUUGGAUUAAAAAUUAUCUUAGGUGCAGAAGUUUAAGAUUUUGGUCUGUUCGACCAUUAAAUUUUUACAUGAUCUGAGUUCAGACCGGUGUAAGCCAGGUCGGUUUCUAUCUUUAAUAAAAUAAAAUAUUUUAGUACGAAAGGACCAAAUAUUUAAUAUAUUUAUAUUUAGUUUUUUGAAUAU
rnacentral:rRNA from 1 species